rnacentral:lncRNA from 1 species
UGUGCCUUUGCUUCUCCUUUGCCUUCUGCCAUGAUUGUGAGGCCUCCCCACCCGUGUGGAACUUUGGAGUUUUGUGACAAGUUCUGACAAUGGCCUGAGUAAAAAUGAUAUCUGUACCUUCUGAGACAAAAUAUUUUGUGCUAAAGCAAAAUCCUCCAGAACUCCCUUCCUCUUCAGGGGCAACAGAUGCUCCCAGGUGAAUGCUGCUAUCAACCCCAUUUUACAACGUGGAAACUGAAGAAUUGAGAUAGUAACUGCACCAAGAUCUCACAACUGGGGUAAAAAUCCAUGCAGCAUGGCCCUAGAUGAACAUAAUCUGAAA